UGGGGAAUUUUGGGCAAUGGGCGCAAGCCUGAUCCAGCAAUGCCGCGUGCAGGAUGAAGGCCUUCGGGUUGUAAACUGCUUUUGUACGGAGCGAAAAGGUCUGCCCUAAUACGGUGGGCUCAUGACGGUACCGUAAGAAUAAGCACCGGCUAACUACGUGCCAGCAGCCGCGGUAAUACGUAGGGUGCGAGCGUUAAUCGGAAUUACUGGGCGUAAAGCGUGCGCAGGCGGUUAUGCAAGACAGAGGUGAAAUCCCCGGGCUCAACCUGGGACCUGCAUUUGUGACUGUAUAGCUAGAGUACGGUAGAGGGGGAUGGAAUUCCGCGUGUAGCAGUGAAAUGCGUAGAUAUGCGGAGGAACACCGAUGGCGAAGGCAAUCCCCUGGACCUGUACUGACGCUCAUGCACGAAAGCGUGGGGAGCAAACA
rnacentral:rRNA from 1 species